GACGAACCGUGCAAACGUUGUUCGGAAUCACUGGGCUUAAAGCGUGUGUAGGCGGACUGGUAAGUACCUUGUGAAAUCCCACGGCUCAACCGUGGAACUGCUCGGUAUACUGCUCGUCUUGAGCCACUUAGGGGCUGUCGGAACAAACGGUGGAGCGGUGAAAUGCGUAGAUAUCUGGAGGAACACCGGUGGCGAAGGCGGCAUCCUGGACCGGCAUUGACGCUGAGGCGCGAAAGCCAGGGGAGCAAACGGG
rnacentral:rRNA from 1 species